GAAAACAAACCAUACAUACCUUCGAGAGAAAUUAGAAACAAAACAAAGCACCUUUUGUAUCUCCCAAACAACACAUCUCGGGUCUUCUUCUUUCUCAUCUCACCAUAUUCUUUCUCAAAAAUCAAACAACAAAUUCCCAGUCUUUCUCAUCUCGUUUCUGAUUUUCUUUUUGAUUUCUGCCAACGGACCUAUCGGAUUCCCUCAUAUGGGAUUCAAGAAGAGGUGUUUCUGUGAUGAUGGCUCAUUGUUAUCGGUGUUGUGUGAAUUGACGGUGAGGAUGCGGUUGGAGGGGCGAUAG